UUCCGGUUAAAUCCAUUAGCUCAACUGAUGGGCCGCCGGAAAAACUGCAAAGCUAGGGAGUGGGAGAGGUAGACGGUACUCGGUAGGAAGGGGUAAAAUCCUUUGAUCUAUUGAUGGCCACCUGUGGCGAAGGCGGUCUACCAGAACACGUUCGACGGUGAGGGAUGAAAGCUGGGGGAGCAAACCGGAUUAGAUACCCGGGUAGUCCCAGCUGUAAACGAUGCAGACUCGGUGAUGCACUGGCUUGUGGCCAGUGCAGUGCCGCAGGGAAGCCGUUAAGUUUGCCGCCUGGGAAGUACGUACGCAAGUAUGAAACUUAAAGGAAUUGGCGGGGGAGCACCACAAGGGGUGAAGCCUGCGGUUCAAUUGGAGUCAACGCCAGAAAUCUUACCCGAGGAGACAGUAGAAUGAAGGUCAAGCUGGAGACUUUACCAGACAAGCUGAGAAGUGGUGCAUGGCCGUCGCCAGCUCGUGCCGUGAGAUGUCCUGUUAAGUCAGGUAACGAGCGAGAUCCCUGCCUCUAGUUGCCACCAUUACUCUCAGGAGUAGUGGGGCGAAUUAGCGGGACCGCCACAGUUAAUGUGGAGGAAGGAAGGGGCCACGGCAGGUCAGUAUGCCCUGAAACCUUGGGGCCACACGCGGGCUGCAAUGAUAGUGACAAUGAGUUCCUAAACCGAAAGGUGGAGGCAAUCUUCAAACGCUAUCACAGUUAUGAUUGAGGGCUGCAACUCGCCCUCAUGAAUAUGGAAUCCCUAGUAACUGCGUGUCAUUACCGCGCAGUGAAUACGUCCCUGCUCCUUGCACACACCGCCCGU
rnacentral:rRNA from 1 species